GUGAAGGACAUGGUCUGGCGAAUUAUGAGGCAGGCAAUCAAAAAUGACUUGGCUAAAGCGGAAAACACCAAACCAAAAUUUGGAGCAUAAAAACAUUGUGAUUGCACACAAACCAGAAGUAAAUGAUCUGCUGGUUGUCUUCCUGUGACUAAACACAUAACAGACCCUCAGCCAUCGUGUCACAGCGUUUAAUGCGUCUCUGGAGGUUGACAGAUGAACUGUGAGCUUUUUCUCACAGCAGGCCGAGCUGCUGAGUGAGAAACACCCUCACGCUUCCUGCAUGAACCAUCUCAACAAUUCACAUCAUUUACCCUGGGAAAAACGCCUCACUGCCAGCCACGACUUUCCAUGCAGUGCCGACAAAAAAUGAGA